AUUGAACGCUGGCGGAAUGCUUUACACAUGCAAGUCGAACGGCAGCAUAGAGAGCUUGCUCUCUGAUGGCGAGUGGCGAACGGGUGAGUAAUAUAUCGGAACGUGCCUAGUAAUGGGGAACAACUAAUCGAAAGAUUAGCUAAUACCGCAUACGACCUAAGGGUGAAAGCAGGGGAUCUUCGGACCUUGCGUUAUUAGAGCGGCCGAUAUCUGAUUAGCUUGUUGGUAGGGUAAAAGCCUACCAAGGCAACGAUCAGUAGCUGGUCUGAGAGGACGAUCAGCCACACUGGAACUGAGACACGGUCCAGACUCCUACGGGAGGCAGCAGUGGGGAAUUUUGGACAAUGGGGGAAACCCUGAUCCAGCCAUUCCGCGUGAGUGAAGAAGGCCUUCGGGUUGUAAAGCUCUUUCGCCAGAGAAGAAAGCUUGCUAUCUAAUAAAUAGUAAGUAUGACGGUAUCUUGACAAGAAGCACCGGCUAACUAUGUGCCAGCAGCCGCGGUAAUACAUAGGGUGCAAGCGUUAAUCGGAAUUACUGGGCGUAAAGCGUUCGCAGGCGGUUUUAUAAGUCAGAUGUGAAAUCCCCGAGCUCAACUUGGGAACUGCGUUUGAAACUGUAAAACUAGAGUGUGUCAGAGGGGGGUAGAAUUCCAUGUGUAGCAGUGAAAUGCGUAGAUAUGUGGAGGAAUACCAAUGGCGAAGGCAGCCCCCUGGGAUAACACUGACGCUCAUGAACGAAAGCGUGGGGAGCAAACAGGAUUAGAUACCCUGGUAGUCCACGCCCUAAACGAUGUCUACUAGUUGUUGGUGGAGUAAAAUCCAUGAGUAACGCAGCUAACGCGUGAAGUAGACCGCCUGGGGAGUACGGUCGCAAGAUUAAAACUCAAAGGAAUUGACGGGGGCCCGCACAAGCGGUGGAUUAUGUGGAUUAAUUCGAUGCAACGCGAAAAACCUUACCUGGCCUUGACAUGUACCGAAUUUAGCAGAGAUGCUUUAGUGCUCGAAAGAGAACGGUAACACAGGUGCUGCAUGGCUGUCGUCAGCUCGUGUCGUGAGAUGUUGGGUUAAGUCCCGCAACGAGCGCAACCCUUGCCAUUAAUUGCCAUCAUUUAGUUGGGCACUUUAAUGGGACUGCCGGUGACAAACCGGAGGAAGGUGGGGAUGACGUCAAGUCCUCAUGGCCCUUAUGGCCAGGGCUUCACACGUAAUACAAUGGUCGGUACAGAGGGACGCCAACCCGCGAGGGGGAGCUAAUCUCAGAAAGCCGAUCGUAGUCCGGAUUGUUGUCUGCAACUCGACAGCAUGAAGUCGGAAUCGCUAGUAAUCGCGGAUCAGCAUGUCGCGGUGAAUACGUUCCCGGGCCUUGUACACACCGCCCGUCACACCAUGGGAGUGGGUUUUACCAGAAGUAGUUAGUCUAACCGUAAGGGGGGCGAUUACCACGGUAGGAUUCACGACUGGGGUGAAGUCGUAACAAGGUAGCCGUAUCGGAAGGUGCGGCUGGAUCACCUCCUUUCUAGAGAAAACCUGUCAGUAAGCAUUCACACUUAUCAGUUAUUAAAAAAUACUAUAAAGAUUAUAAUCAGCCCAUUAUGGGUCUGUAGCUCAGCUGGUUAGAGCACCGUCUUGAUAAGGCGGGGGUCGAUGGUUCGAGUCCAUCCAGACCCACCAGAUUAAAUUCAAGUGAAAUUAUUUGUUUAAUUAAAGGGGGAUUAGCUCAGCUGGGAGAGCACCUGCUUUGCAAGCAGGGGGUCAUCGGUUCGAUCCCGUUAUCCUCCACCAAUAUCUUUAACUUAGAAGUAAGCCUCAAGGGUUGUUAACAAUCUUUGAGGCUAGCUUUUGCUAGUAUGUUCUUUAACAAUAUGGAAGAAGUAAACUGAAGUCAUAAGAUUGUGAUGAGAUUAUGAUUUCAAUGGGUAAUGAUUGUAAAAUCAAAACUAAAUCAACAAAAAAACUAAGAAGUUUUAGUAUUUAUAGUUGUUUUAAGCAAUGCUUUAGAAGAAACUAUAACGAUCGUCUCAUGCGAAAUAAUUUAAGUUUAAAAGGGCUUAGGUUUUAAAGUUAUAGGAUCAAGUUAAUAAGUGCAUAUGGUGAAUGCCUUGGCGAUUACAGGCGAUGAAGGACGUGGUAGUCUGCGAAAUUUUUCGGGGAGCUGACAAACAAGCUUUGAUCCGGAAGUGU
rnacentral:sRNA from 1 species